UACGUAGGGCGCAAGCGUUAUCCGGAAUUUAUUGGGCGUAAAGAGCUCGUAGGCGGUUUGUCGCGUCUGCCGUGAAAGUCCGGGGCUCAACUCCGGAUCUGCGGUGGGUACGGGCAGACUAGAGUGAUGUAGGGGAGACUGGAAUUCCUGGUGUAGCGGUGAAAUGCGCAGAUAUCAGGAGGAACACCGAUGGCGAAGGCAGGUCUCUGGGCAUUAACUGACGCUGAGGAGCGAAAGCAUGGGGAGCGAACAGG
rnacentral:rRNA from 1 species